UCUGGGCAGAUGAGGAAUCUCAUAUUUUUAAUGGGUAAUUUGCGUCUGAAGCAUCUUAGUGAUGUUACCUAUUAUCAGUUUAUCACCUUGGAGAUCUGAUGCCCCUU